AGACCAUGAUGAGGACAUCUUCUUUGAAUAUCUUUAAAUCUCUCCCAAGUAUCAUAUAACGACUCAUUUUUAUGUUGAGUGAAACCUGUUAUAUCCAUGCGAAAUUU